rnacentral:rRNA from 1 species
CGCGAAGAACCUUACCUACUCUUGACAUCCAGAGAACUUUCCAGAGAUGGAUUGGUGCCUUCGGGAACUCUGGGACAGGUGCUGCAUGGCUGUCGUCAGCUCGUGUUGUGAAAUGUUGGGUUAAGUCCCGCAACGAGCGCAACCCUUAUCCUUUGUUGCCAGCGCGUGAUGGCGGGAACUCAAAGGAGACUGCCGGUGAUAAACCGGAGGAAGGUGGGGAUGACGUCAAGUCAUCAUGGCCCUUACGAGUAGGGCUACACACGUGCUACAAUGGCGUAUACAAAGGGAAGCGAUCCUGCGAAGGCAAGCGGAACUCAUAAAGUACGUCGUAGUCCGGAUUGGAGUCUGCAACUCGACUCCAUGAAGUCGGAAUCGCUAGUAAUCGUAGAUCAGAAUGCUACGGUGAAUACGUUCCCGGGCCUUGUACACACCG